UACGUAGGGGGCUAGCGUUGUCCGGAUUUAUUGGGCGUAAAGAGCGUGUAGGCGGCCAGGUAGGUCUGCUGUGAAAACUCGAGGCUCAACCUCGAGACGUCGGCGGAAACCAUCUGGCUAGAGUCCGGAAGAGGAGAGUGGAAUUCCUGGUGUAGCGGUGAAAUGCGCAGAUAUCAGGAGGAACACCGGUGGCGAAAGCGGCUCUCUGGGACGGUGCUGACGCUGAGACGCGAAAGCGUGGGGAGCGAACAGG
rnacentral:rRNA from 1 species